AUUGAACGCUGGCGGCAGGCCUAACACAUGCAAGUCGAGCGGCAGCGGGAAAGUAGCUUGCUACUUUUGCCGGCGAGCGGCGGACGGGUGAGUAAUGCCUGGGAAAUUGCCCAGUCGAGGGGGAUAACAGUUGGAAACGACUGCUAAUACCGCAUACGCCCUACGGGGAAAAGCAGGGGACCUUCGGGUCUUGCGCGAUUGGAUAUGCCCAGGUGGGAUUAGCUAGUUGGUGAGGUAAUGGCUCACCAAGGCGACGAUCCCUAGCUGGUCUGAGAGGAUGAUCAGCCACACUGGAACUGAGACACGGUCCAGACUCCUACGGGAGGCAGCAGUGGGGAAUAUUGCACAAUGGGGGAAACCCUGAUGCAGCCAUGCCGCGUGUGUGAAGAAGGCCUUCGGGUUGUAAAGCACUUUCAGCGAGGAGGAAAGGUUGAUGCCUAAUACGUAUCAACUGUGACGUUACUCGCAGAAGAAGCACCGGCUAACUCCGUGCCAGCAGCCGCGGUAA
rnacentral:rRNA from 1 species